AGUGAACGCUGGCGGUAGGCCUAACACAUGCAAGUCGAACGGCAGCACAGUAAGAGCUUGCUCUUACGGGUGGCGAGUGGCGGACGGGUGAGGAAUACAUCGGAAUCUACUUUUUCGUGGGGGAUAACGUAGGGAAACUUACGCUAAUACCGCAUACGACCUACGGGUGAAAGCAGGGGAUCUUCGGACCUUGCGCGAUUGAAUGAGCCGAUGUCGGAUUAGCUAGUUGGCGGGGUAAAGGCCCACCAAGGCGACGAUCCGUAGAUGGUCUGAGAGGAUGAUCAGACACACUGGAACUGAGACACGGUCCAGACUCCUACGGGAGGCAGCAGUGGGGAAUAUUGGACAAUGGGCGCAAGCCUGAUCCAGCCAUACCGCGUGGGUGAAGAAGGCCUUCGGGUUGUAAAGCCCUUUUGUUGGGAAAGAAAAGCAGCAGGUUAAUACCCCGCUGUUCUGACGGUACCCAAAGAAUAAGCACCGGCUAACUUCGUG
rnacentral:rRNA from 1 species